rnacentral:piRNA from 1 species
CCACAACAUGAGGAAAUGUAUUAAAGGUU